AGUGAACGCUGGCGGUAGGCCUAACACAUGCAAGUCGAACGGCAGCACAGUAAGAGCUUGCUCUUACGGGUGGCGAGUGGCGGACGGGUGAGGAAUACAUCGGAAUCUACUUUUUCGUGGGGAAUAACGUAGGGAAACUUACGCUAAUACCGCAUACGACCUACGGGUGAAAGCAGGGGAUCUUCGGACCUUGCGCGAUUGAAUGAGCCGAUGUCGGAUUAGCUAGUUGGCGGGGUAAAGGCCCACCAAGGCGACGAUUCGUAGCUGGUCUGAGAGGAUGAUCAGCCACACUGGAACUGAGACACGGUCCAGACUCCUACGGGAGGCAGCAGUGGGGAAUAUUGGACAAUGGGCGCAAGCCUGAUCCAGCCAUACCGCGUGGGUGAAGAAGGCCUUCGGGUUGUAAAGCCCUUUUGUUGGGAAAGAACAGCAGCAGGUUAAUACCCCGCUGUUCUGACGGUACCCAAAGAAUAAGCACCGGCUAACUUCGUG
rnacentral:rRNA from 1 species